rnacentral:rRNA from 1 species
GUAGGUGGCGAGCGUUGUCCGGAAUUAUUGGGCGUAAAGCGCGCGCAGGCGGUUCUUUAAGUCUGAUGUGAAAGCCCACGGCUCAACCGUGGAGGGUCAUUGGAAACUGGAGAACUUGAGUACAGAAGAGGAAAGCGGAAUUCCACGUGUAGCGGUGAAAUGCGUAGAGAUGUGGAGGAACACCAGUGGCGAAGGCGGCUUUCUGGUCUGUAACUGACGCUGAGGCGCGAAAGCGUGGGGAGCAAACAGGGAUUAGAUACCCUGGUAGUCCACGCCGUAAACGAUGAGUGCUAAGUGUUAGGGGGUUUCCCGCCCCUUAGUGCUGCAGCUAACGCAUUAAGCACUCCGCCUGGGGAGUACGGCCACAAGGCUG